rnacentral:rRNA from 1 species
AUUGAACGCUGGCGGCAUGCUUUACACAUGCAAGUCGAGCGGCAGCGCGGGGGCAACCCUGGCGGCGAGCGGCGAACGGGUGAGUAAUGCAUCGGAACGUACCCUGGAGUGGGGGAUAACGCCGCGAAAGCGGCGCUAAUACCGCAUAUGCUCUGAGGAGGAAAGUGGGGGACCGCAAGGCCUCACGCUCUGGGAGCGGCCGAUGUCCGAUUAGCUAGUUGGUGGGGUAAGCUUACCAAGGCGACGAUCGGUAGCUGGUCUGAGAGGAUGAUCAGCCACACUGGGACUGAGACACGGCCCAGACUCCUACGGGAGGCAGCAGUGGGGAAUUUUGGACAAUGGGGGCAACCCUGAUCCAGCCAUGCCGCGUGAGUGAAGAAGGCCUUCGGUUGUAAGACUCUUUUGGUCGGGUAAGAAGACG